CUACUACCCUCUGCAGUUGUAUCAUGAAUGAAGAUAAGUGAGCCAGUACCUUCAGCAGCCAUACAUGCCCAUGCCAUAACUCCCCCACCACCGUGUCUCACAUAUGUGUUGGUAUGCUUUGGAUCUUGGGCAGUUCCUUCUCUCCUCCCUACUUUGUUCUUGCCUUCACUCUGGUAUAAGUUCAUCUUCGUCUCAUCUGUCCACAACACCUUUUUCCAGAACUGUGGUUGC